UUUUUUUUUUUUUUUUUUUUUUUUUUGAGACAGAGUCUCACUCUGUUGCCCAGGCUGGAGUGCAGUGGCACAAUCUCAGUUCACUGCAACCUCCGCCUCCUGGGUUCUGAGAGCACCUGGCAAGCCACUGGUAUAAAUCCAUGAGUCCAAAAGCCAAAGAACUUGGAGUCUGAUGUUCGACAUCCAGCACAAGAGAAAGAUGAAGGCUGGAAGACUCUGCAAGUCUGCCCCUUCCACCUUCUUCUGCUUGCUUUUUCUAGCCACGCUGGCAGCUGAUUGGAUGGUGCCCACCCACAUUGAGGGUGGGUCUGUCUCUUCCAAUCUACUGACUCAAAUGUUAAUCUUCUCUGGCAAUGCCCAGAAGCAAUACUUUUCAUCCUUCAAUCCAAUAAAGUCGACAAUAUUAACUCUCACAGAGAAUUUUGCUGAAAGGGUUGUUUUUGGGGAUUAAUUCUAACCGGAAAGGCUCUGCUAGGAGACACAAUCUGGGGGUCUUACGAAAAUUGGUUUUUCAGUAGAUAAACAUGAGGUUGAAACAACAUGGGAUAGGCUUUUAGUCUAAGGGACCAGCUUUGACAUCGGUUGCCUUGAUAAGCUCAAAGGGAGGCUCAGAGGGUGGGUCCCCUUCCCUGCCUCUCAAGCAGCAGGUCAGUUUGAGCUCACAUCUCACCUCGGGAAGUAGGAAAUUGAAUGACUGCUCUUCUCACUUCACAGGGCAGGUUUUUUAUCCUCUGGGGAAAGUCUUUGUGAAUGCUCACAGAUUCUGCCCAUAGAAUCUAAGCUCCUUGAGGGCUAGGAGGAAGCAGGCCGCCAUUGUCCACUGCUAUAUUUUCAAUGCCUGGUACACUUCCCAACACUUUGUAAGUGCUCCCUACAUAUUCAUUGCAGUGAAUAAAUAAAAAUAACAACUAAUACUUUUGUACCGCUUACUAUGUACCAGACACUGUUGUAGGGGCUUUGCAGGUAUUAAUUUAUUUCAUCUCCACUACAAACCUAUCCAGAUGGAUGGGACUAGUGUGAAUAGAAGAAAUGCUGAUGAUGUGAUGGUAGACAGAGCAAUCUGUGCAUCAUCCGAGCCGAGCCACAGUGAUGGUGCCGGCAAACAGGGGCUUUCUCUUCAGUAAAUAAAGGGCAGCCUAGGGUAGAUGUGAGAUCUCAAUGGUAGCUCCCUGACUCUAACAACAAGUAAGGAGGGUUAUCUGAUGACUCUCCAUGAUCCAGUCCAGACAGAGACAAGCUUAUGACAAUGAUAUUUGCAGCUGCAGCAAAGCCAGUCCCUCUGUGAACGAUCACACUGGUGACGCAGGUCUCAGGCUCCCUCUGUGAAUGAUCACAUCGGUGGUAAACAUGCUUCUUUCCUUGAAAGUUAAACCCGUUUUGAGCAGGGCUGUGGGGUUGAGUGUGUGCGGGAGCCCCUGGGGAGGGCAGGUCACCCUAGACAGUUAAUGCAAACACAGCUGCUAUCCCCGUGGAGAAUGGUCUCUUAGUAGCAAUUGCUGGGCCCACAGUCGAAUCAAUGUUGUGCAGUGUAGCUGAUGGGAAGUGUCAGUUCUCCUAAGUCUUUCCUUUUCCAGGAUAAUCCCCUCAUUGGACCUGAGGAGCAGAGAAGAGCUGGCCUCUGAGCAGGGUGCUGGGGAAAAGUGUAGCUUCCAUGUCCUGCACCUGCUUCUCUCUCCCCAGGAGACUGUGGAGCUUAGGGAGGCUUGACCCAUCUGUAUUUGACACGAAUGUUUUCUCCCUAGCUGACCUCACCACUGUGACCUCACCUUGGUGGAGAGCAGCAACAAACUCAUAGGUGCUGAUAAUUGAAACUCAAGGAGGGAAGCAGAAAUGUGUGUUAUUUGGUAGAAUGGGCAAUUCAAGAACAAUUUAGUUUUGGGAUGCAUUAACUGUCUUAUUUCACAUAUGUAACUGAUGUUUAGAGAUGGAUGGGACCAUAGAGGUGAUUCAUUCCAAAAUCUUUAUUUUACAAUGGGGAAAAGGAAGGGUUGGGAAAAAAUUGAAUAAAUAAUGCCAUUUUAUUGAGUAGUAGCUGACUCCCAGUCCAUUGCUUAUUUCAGUAAACAAAAUUAUUUCCCAGAUAUGAACAACUAUGUCUACAGAAAUAAACAAAUGUUUUUGGAAUCACGGCAAUAGAGAAUCAAGGCGAAGAAAGUUUUCUGAAUUCUUCAGCCAGCAGAACCCGAAACUCUGAAUUUUCCUGUAGAGGGGGUGACUUUGCCUUGGGUUUGCCAUUUGAGCAGAGAUCAGCUAGUGAGUUGUAUCUCUGGUCUGCAGAGCUUGUGAAUGGCACAGAAAAUGAGGAGGAUUUUGAAGCCAGCUAAGGCCAGGUUUGUAUUGUAGUUCUGCCAUUUUCUUAUCUACUGUGCAACUGCAGGCAAGUAAGUUCGCUUUUCUGAGCUCAGUCUCUUCUUUGGAAAAAGUGAAUGACGUAUGCUACGUAUCUGUUCCCUCUGUCUUGUCGACAGUGGUCAUGCACCAGGCACAAGAUGCUGAGGUUUGUUGUCUCUAUUUAAUGUCUCACUACAACUUCACAGUUUUUAAAAUGAGGCAGCAGUUAAUAUUAUAAUGUCUAUUUUACAGGAGAGGAGAGCCUGACGUUUCAAGAACUCAAGGUUCAGUACUAGGUCUUAGAGGAAGACUUCAUUUUAGCUUUGAUGCUCUCCGCUAGGCACAGAGAAACUUAAGCAGAAUGACAAGACCUGCUGUUUGAGUAACUCACGUUCUGACCAGAGAGACAGACAUGUCAGCAAGAGGUUACAAUACAGUGUGCUCAGAUUCUCCGGGACUUGGAGCACUUGUUCCAGAAAGGAAGGCCAGGGAAGUCUUCCAGGAGUAGAUGGCGCCUCUGCUGACCUGAAGGGUGAGGAAAAAGUGUCCAGUUGCAGAAGGUGCAACUGCCUAUAGAACAGCUGCCGCGGCCCACUGAAAGCUUCAAGCCGAGACCUGAGGUGCAUGAACCCUCCUUCUGAUAAGCUUCAGAGCAGAAAUGAUGCAACUGAGUCACAGAGAAGUUAAGUAAUCUGCCUGCCGACACUCGGGUCGAUGCCGCCUCAUUCCAUCACUCGGGCAAUGGAGCCAAAGGCCACGUUCACAACCACUAGGCUGUCCCAGCCCCUUGCUUCAAAGAUAGCCAGGCAGGAGUUAUUUUAUAGAAUGGAAGUAAUUUCUACGGGGCCAAGCAAUAAUAAGGAAAUUGGAAGUCAAGGACUAUCUUCCGAAUGGAGAAGAAGCUCCAUCAACCACAGAAGGAAAUUAUGAUCACUCCUGCCAUCCUGCUCCUUUGUGUAUCCAGGAUGAAGGGGAGAAUUGGAGUCUUGCACAAUGAAAGGACAACAUUGCUGCCAAAACAAUCCAUCGUGACUGUAGACAUAUUUUCCACCCUCAUCCUGCAGGUUUUCUGCCAGUUGUUGGCCCCUCACCAAUUUUGCUCCUGGGCAGUCUGAGGUGGAACAUAAUUUUGUAUAAAACAAAUUAUGCUCAACCUCACUUAUAAUCAGGGAAAUGUGAGUCAAAACCACAAUAAAAUAUCACCUCAUGCUG
rnacentral:lncRNA from 1 species